ACCGGAAGAAUAAGGGGCUGCUAAACUCGUGCCAGCAGCAGCGGUAAUACGAGUGCCCCAAGCGUUACCCGGAUUUAUUGGGCGUAAAGCGUGUGCAGGCGGUUUAUUAAGUCAAUGGUCAAAUCCUCCGGCUCAACCGGAGAACUGCCGUUGAUACUGAUAGACUAGAGGCUGGAAGAGGCAAGCGGAAUUGCUGGUGUAGGGGUCAAAUCCGUUAAUAUCAGCAGGAACACCAAAUGCGAAGGCAGCUUGCUAGGACAGACCUGACGCUAAUACACGAAAGCGUGGGGAGCGAAGCGGAUUAGAUACCCGCGUAGUCCACGCCGUAAACGAUGGAUACUAGACAUUGGGAGUUUCGACCCUCUCAGUGUCGUUGACAAAAGCUAACGCGUUAAGUAUCCCGCCUGGGGAGUACGGCCGCAAGGCUAAAACUCAAAGGAAUUGACGGGGACUCGCACAAGCGGUGGAGCACGUGGUUUAAUUCGACGCUAAGCGAAAAACCUUACCAAGGCUUGACAUAUAGCUGCACGCCUCCAGAAAUGGAGGAAGCUUUCGAAGGUGCUAUACAGAUGCUGCAUGGUUGCCGUCAGCUCGUGUCGUGAGAUGUACGGUUAAGUCCGGAAACGAGCGCAACCCCUAUCCUAAUUUGUACUUUAUUAGGAAACUGCCUCGGUCAACGAGGAGGAAGGUGGGGACGACGUCAAAUCAGCAUGGCUCUUACGCCUUGGGCUACACACAUGCUACAAUGGCCAAUACAGGGGGUUGCCAAAUCGCAAGAUGGAGCUAAUCCCGUCAAAGUUGGUCUCAGUUCGGUUUGUGGUCUGCAACUCGACCACAUGAAGCUGGAAUCGCU
rnacentral:rRNA from 1 species